CUGAGGCGGAGUGUCACCUGAGCCCAGGAUUUUGGGACUGCAGUGAGCUAUGAUCACACCACUGCACUCUAGCCUGGUUGACAGAAUGAGACCUCAUCUCUACAGAAAAAGUAAGGAAAUCCACUUUAUAAAGGCACAAAUAUAUUCAUAGUAAAGGAAUGGAGAAAGAUAUCCCAUGCUAACAUUAAUCAAAAUAAAGUGAAAUAGCCAUAUUAAUUUCAGACACAACCGACUUUAGAACAAGGAAUAUUAUCAGAGAUCAAAAGGGGCAUUCCUUAAUGACAAAGGGAUCAGUUUUCUAAGAAGACAUAACAAUCCUUAGUGUGUACACACUGAACAACAGAGCAUCACAGUACAUGAAGCUAAAUCUGAUGGAACUGCAAAGAGAAAUAGAUAAAUUCACUCUUAGAGUUGGAGGCAUUGACAUCCCUCUCUCAGAAAUGGACAGGUCCAGCAAGCAGAAAAUCAGUACGGGCAUAACAUGAUCAACCAUGAUCAAAAACUCAAUUCAAUCAACAAUAUGUAACUGACAUCUAUGGACCACUUUACCCAGUAACAGCAGAUGACACAUUUUCUCACACACACACAACAUUCAGCAGAAUAGACCACAUUCUGGGCUAGAAAAUGCACCUCAGCAAAUUUAAAAGAUUAGAAAUCAUACGAAGUGUGUUCUCAGACUACCAGGAAAUGAAAGUUAAAAAAAAAAUCACUAAAAAAAAGAUAGCUGAAAAACAUGAAAAUACUUGGAGGUUAAACAACAGACUCCAAAAUAACUGAAGGUCACAGAAAUCUCAAGAUAAAUUUUUAAAAUAUUUCAAACUAAAUGGAAUUGAAAGCACAACUUAUCAAAAAUUUAGGAAUGCAACAAAGGCAAUGCCUACUGGGAAAUUUAUACCACUGAAUGUAUAUUAAAAAGAACAAAGAUCUAAAUAAAUAAUCUUUCCCAUUGGGAAGCUAGGGGGAAAAUUAAAAUUAAAUUCAAAGUAAGCAAGUAAAAGCAAUGAUAAAUAAUGAAUACAAUUCUGAGCAGCGUGAUAUCUGAUUUCUGGAGGCUGAGUUUUAUGUGGCUUUAGAAGUUUCAUGUUAUGAGUGUGAAUUGGCAAGUGACCAUGGCGAUUGUUUCUGAUAUGGCCAUCUCAAUUACGUAGCGAAGGGAUCAGCAGUGGCAUCAUCCCAGCUCUGCAUGGCACCACACCAGUGAUUCUCCAAAGUCAAGAAACCUGUAUAUGUUGUCCUUCUUGUGUUUGGUGAAUCUGUGGUCUAUAGACUACAUAACGGGCUAUUUCUGGGGUACUGACUAUUUUGCUCCACUAAGGAAAACCGUGCGUGAGCCAUGUAACUAUGUGAAACAGUGUUUUCCUUUUUGACACCUGGCCUACUCCUUUCAGAUGAGAGCAAAGGAAGAGCACCACUUGGCCUGCUGCACCCAGGGCAAUUUAUACCAUCCAGGUAUCCAGCACUGAAUAUGUAGCAACUCCAAUCCACUGCAGAACAUUAAUCUAUCUAUGAUAAACAUGCUAAUAUCUACGAUUCUGCCUUUGUGGGGAGAUGACUCCAUAGAUUAACCCCCUGGCUUGGGUCAAUAUUGAGAUGUUAUAUUGUCUUCAACAGGGAAGAUGACAUAAAAAUUAUGUUCAAUAGGAUUAUGUGGAGACUUAACAUAAGCGAAAAACCUGAGACAAGAAGUUAGAAAUCCUUGUUUCUUUUAGGUGAAUAAUUUUGGAGCUUGAGAAAACGACACCAUUGUGGCAAACUUGCUUUGCCAAACCCUGUGUAUGCAUUUCUGGGUAAACAAGACAUUUUCGUCCUUUAAGCAUUGUUUCCAUUAUUUAUAAUUCCUAAUAGUAUGAGACAUUUGGAACUCAUUCCUUGGUUCUUCUUCUCUCAUUAUAUCUUUCAUUGUAUCUUUCAGUGUUACGAGAGAUGCAUCAUCCCAUUAAUGAAAGCAGAGUGACUGCCUUCAUCACACAUACAUUCAAGAUAGACCGCUGGGCCAGUGAUGAUUCACUCUUAAGGCUAUUAUGUUUACUCAUUUAAAAAAUCUGAAUCUCAGUAUGGAUUUUAUUCUCAGAGAGUGACUGACCUAUCUGAUAUGAUGCUAUGACAGAAUCUUUACUUUUUACCUGAAUUUGAUGGGAUUGAAAGUUGAGAACAUUUUAUUUUCUGUUUCACUUGAUUAAUAAUGCCCAAUCUAACAUGUAAUGUUCACUUGGGUACAUACAUACAACUACACCAAUUUUUUUCUUAUUUUACCUUAAAAAUUUUAAGAUAUUAUAAUGGUAUGGCCAGUUUACUCACUGGUAAACUUUUCGUAACAGAAGGAUCAUGCCAGUGGAUACAAAUAUGUAACAUCAGUAAUUUGCUUUGCCUGUGAAACAGAGAACUGAACAAAUUGAUGGGCAAACUAGUAUCUGAAUAUAAACCCCAAAUAUCAUGUGACUUCAUCAUUUUCAGUAUAAUGAAAAUACAGGCUGUGAAUGCUUCCAGUUGGUCCUGAAAGGGCCUUUGAGAUGAGUAGGUUCACCAAAGCGGCAACAUGUGUCCCAGUUCCCAGUGUACAUUCUACUCCUCAUUGAUGAUAUGGAAGAAGAGCACUCUUUGGCCUGUUGCGACUGGGACAGUUGACAGCACCCAGGUGUCCUAUAAUGAAAAUGCUCUUGACACCAAUGCAUCCUAGCAUCAGAGCUUCGGGAAGCCUUCUCAAGUGUGCAUGGGGAGUACCAUGUCUUUCAUCAAUAAUGAAACCUUCUAAUGUCUUGUAAGACAUGCUGCCAAGAGAUGUGCCAUUCCAUUAUAAAAGAUCAGUAGCGUCCUUUACUGACAGAUAUAUUCUACAUAGAACAUUGAGCUACAGAAGACUCCCACCUGAGGGAAUUAGUUUUACACUUUCAGUGUUUCACUGUUUUGAGUUACUGAUGAACUUGCUGUAACUGUGAGACCAUGGUAAUGGAGGAGACCACGGUAAUGGAGGAGACCACGGUAAUGGAGGAGAUCAUGGUAAUGGAGGAGACCACGGUAAUGGAGAGGAGAAUAUAAAGACUGCUCAGAAGAGCAUCCUCUGGUGUUGCCACAGAGGCAAGUGCUACCACACAGGCAUGCUGCAGUGAAUUUAACUCAUCCUGUGUCCCUGCAACCGUUGUUUAAGGGUGCUAUUCUGAAAAGACUGUGGAGGAAGAAAACCCUUUACUCUGUUGUUCAGGGAGAAACUGACACCACUCAACUGCCUGGCACUGAAAAUGUGGCAUCCAGUCCACUUUACCACCAGUGUUUAAGGAAACCAUCUCUGAUAAGGAUGAUUGAAGAAGACUACUCUUUGGCUUGUUGACACCAGCACAGCUGACACACCCAGAUAUCUGUUUGGUCUCCUGUGAACUUUCAACCAGGAUUUAAGGAUGCCAUUCUGGUUAAAAGAUCAAACAACUUCAAGGAAACUUCAGGGAAAAGAGAAGGCCUGGAGUCUGAUCCUCCACUUCAGAGAAUAGGGUGCCAUGCAAGAAGUGCCUGUCACCUUCGCCAUGAUUCUGAAGCCUUCCCAGCCAUGUGGAACUGUGGUGGAGUCUAUGGCCCUUCUCUUUGAAUCUGAGCGAAAUUAGUGACUCUUUCAAUCCAAAGACUACAGUCGUACCUCAACUAUCUACAGAGGACUGGUUCCAGGACUCCCAUGGAUCCCAAAAUCCAAGAAUGCUUCGAAUCCCUUAUAUAAAAUGGCAUAGUAUUUGCAUAUGACCUACAUGCAUCUUCAAAUAUGUUAAACCAUCUCUAGAUUACUUAUAAUACCAAAUACAAUGUAAAUGCCAUGUAAACAGUUGUUACAAUGUAUUGCCAAAGACAAGCUCUCCUUGCCAAUCCCUGACCAAAUGAGAGAUUCAUGAGCAAAAUAAAUAGUUGCUGAUAUGUAAGGCACUAAGUUUGGGGCAAUGUAUUACACAGCAAUAAAUAACUGGAACAGCAUAGUAAAUUGUAGUUAAAAACACUAAACUACUAAGUUUUAGUUAAUAUACAUGCUGAAGUUAAGGGUGUGGUAUACUAACAUCUGCAACUUACUUUGAAAAGCAUAAAAAAAGACAGUUGAAGAGAGGAUGGAUAGAUGGACAACAUAGAAGACAAAAACAAAUAUAACAAAAUGUUAGUUGUGAAAUUAUAUUCUACAAUUAUUUUAAAGUCUCUGUGGCUUGAAAAAUUGUACAAUAAAAUGUUGAAGAGUGAAAUAAAGACAUUUCCAUACAAAUAAAAGCUGAAAGAUUUUGUA